rnacentral:rRNA from 1 species
GAUGAACGCUGGCGGCGUGCCUAACACAUGCAAGUCGAACGGGUGUACGGGAUGGAAGAUUUCGGUCGGAAGCCCCGUGCAUGAGUGGCGGACGGGUGAGUAACGCGUGGGCAACCUGCCCUGUACAGGGGGACAACACUUAGAAAUAGGUGCUAAUACCGCAUAACGGGGGGAGCCGCAUGGCUUUCCCCUGAAAACUCCGGUGGUACAGGAUGGGCCCGCGUCUGAUUAGCUGGUUGGCAGGGUAACGGCCUACCAAGGCGACGAUCAGUAGCCGGCCUGAGAGGGCGGACGGCCACACUGGGACUGAGACACGGCCCAG